UCUUGGUCAUUUAGAGGAAGUAAAAGUCGUAACAAGGUUUCCGUAGGUGAACCUGCGGAAGGAUCAACCCCUGUGGGUAUAGUGAGAUGGUUUUUCCAACCCAACCCGUGCGCACAUCCAUUGGACUGGAUGCACGGGUGUGUGGUCUUCUUGGUGGGGGAGGCCUGGUUAGGGCCUGACUUGGUGGGGGUGACUAGGCUGGACGGUGUACUGACAAAGCCGUUUUUCCAGUUAUAGAGCCGUUCCGGUCGGGCCCAAGGGCAUGUCCAGUCCCAUUGGUGGUGGACGCCCCUCCGUGGGCUCUGAGGCCUUGUCACCCUCAGUGUCCGUCGGAGUCUACAAAGGGGCACUUGUGCCCCGGCGUAACGUGGAUGUGUGUGUGUGUACAUACAUAUUCCGGUUGGCCUUGUGCCAACAACAUGCCAGUGAAGACGUGUCCUUGUCCACUCCAACGUUUUUACCUACGGGACAAGGCCUAGCUGGUCCGCAGGCGGCGGGAUGACUUGGGUUGGAAGAGGGGGCCGAUGUGUACACAAUGCCCUCCUUCCGUUGUGCCCAAUCGUCUGAAGUUAUGGGCCUCGACGAAUUGAUGUAAGUCGAGGGGGUCAUAUCUGUUUUUGGCCCGGCAUGGACCUAGACCUACACGCGGUGCCCCUGUUCUUGACUGAUUAGGUCUAUAACAUCAAGCUGAGUUUUCCAAUGGGUUUUUAAAUAACUCUCAACAAUGGAUCUCUAGGCUCUUGCAUCGAUGAAGAACGCAGUGAACUGCGAUAACUGGUGUGAGUUGCAUGGCACUUCUAAUCUAACACCAAGCGAAUCAUCGAGUCUUUGAACGCAAACGGCACCCUUCCAGUCCAUUCCAAAGCGGUGGCGGAGGAUGAAGACAAGGGUAUCUCUGGCUGAGGGUAAUGAGAACUGAUCCAGUGUAACCGUUGGUUUAGCUGGGGAUUGGGCUUGCUUGGGGCAGUUGCUCUGGCUUGCCUCAAAAUCAAGCGUUGUGUGGAUUG
rnacentral:misc_RNA from 1 species